AAUCCAUGUUGCGGGCACUUCCUCGGGGAGCUCCUUAGACCUUUCCCACAUCUCAAAUAGAGCUCUCAAUUCCAGCUGUACAAAGGAUGAGAUCUCAUUCCUAAGCUU